GAUGAACGCUGGCGGCGUGCCUAACACAUGCAAGUCGAGCGAUUCUCUUUGGAGAAGAGCGGCGGACGGGUGAGUAACGCGUGGGUAACCUGCCCUGUACACACGGAUAACAUACCGAAAGGUAUGCUAAUACGAGAUAAUAUGCUUUUAUCGCAUGGUAGAAGUAUCAAAGUUUUUGCGGUACAGGAUGGACCCGCGUCUGAUUAGCUAGUUGGUAAGGUAACGGCUUACCAAGGCGACGAUCAGUAGCCGACCUGAGAGGGUGAUCGGCCACAUUGGAACUGAGACACGGUCCAAACUCCUACGGGAGGCAGCAGUGGGGAAUAUUGCACAAUGGGCGAAAGCCUGAUGCAGCAACGCCGCGUGAGCGAUGAAGGCCUUCGGGUCGUAAAGCUCUGUCCUCAAGGAAGAUAAUGACGGUACUUGAGGAGGAAGCCCCGGCUAACUACGUGCCAGCCGCCGCCGUAACAC
rnacentral:rRNA from 1 species